rnacentral:rRNA from 1 species
UAGACGGUAGGGUAUUGGCCUACCGUGGCUAUGACGGGUAACGGGGAAUUAGGGUUCGAUUCCGGAGAGGGAGCCUGAGAAACGGCUACCACAUCUAAGGAAGGCAGCAGGCGCGCAAAUUACCCAAUCCUAAUACAGGGAGGUAGUGACAAGAAAUAACAAUACAGAACCUUACGGUUUUGUAAUUGGAAUGAGUUAAGUAUAAACCCCUUAACAAGUAUCAAUUGGAGGGCAAGUCUGGUGCCAGCAGCCGCGGUAAUUCCAGCUCCAAUAGCGUAUAUUAAAGUUGUUGCAGUUAAAAAGCUCGUAGUUAAUCUUCUGUUAAUUUUUAUAUAUAAUAUUUCGAUAUUUAUAUAAUAUUAACAUAAUUCAUAUUACUUUUUAGUAUAUGAAACUUUACUUUGAGAAAAUUAGAGUGCUUAAAGCAGGCUAUUGCCUUGAAUACUCCAGCAUGGAAUAAUAUUAAGGAUUUUUAUUCUUCUUAUUGGUUCUAGAAUAAAAAUGAUGAUUAAUAGGAACAGUUGGGGGCAUUUGUAUUUAACAGUCAGA